GACGAACGCUGGCGGCGUGCUUAACACAUGCAAGUCGAGCGGUAAGGCCCUUUCGGGGGUACGACGAGCGGCGAACGGGUGAGUAACACGUGGGUGACCUGCCCUCAGCUCUGGGAUAAGCCUGGGAAACCGGGUCUAAUACCGGAUAUGACUCCAUGACGCAUGUUGUGGGGUGGAAAGCCUUGUGCGGCUGAGGAUGGGCCCGCGGCCUAUCAGCUUGUUGGUGGGGUGAUGGCCUACCAAGGCGACGACGGGUAGCCAGCCUGAGAGGGCGACCGGCCACACUGGGACUGAGACACGGCCCAGACUCCUACGGGAGGCAGCAGUGGGGAAUCUUGCGCAAUGGGCGAAAGCCUGACGCAGCGACGCCGCGUGAGGGAUGACGGCCUGG
rnacentral:rRNA from 1 species